GCCGGGCGUCCGCAGACCCAGACCGACGGCAGGCGCGAAGGUGGCCAAGGCGAGCAGGAGACCCCACAUGGCGGGAUCCAAAGGGUCUCUAUGUAAAGAAUUUGAAUCACCCCAAAUCACCAUACCGACAGCCCAAUCUCACGUGAUCCCUCGAAAGAAAUCCCACGCUGAACCCCUGGAACUAGGUCCCCAGGGGCGACCUCACAGACACCAGCUCUGGAGCCCCUCGAGGUUUCCUGCUAUGGAAUUAAGGAUUUUGCUUUCCUACCACCCUCCCCAACACGCAUCUCCAAGCACACAAACAAACUCCUUCCAUCCUUCCAAAGAGCUAAGUCACUGGAGUCAAUAUUCAGUGCUUAUAUUAUGACCAUGUAAAUAUUAUUGUCCAACUUUGUGUGUUUCUGAAGUUAGCAAUUGCUUUGUUUUAUCAUUUGUUUGGUUUUCUAGGCAUCAAUUACUAAUUUAAUCCCAAAGCGACCAACAGAACUGA